CCGGGCCAGAGCAGCGGCGGAGGCUGAGGAGGGAGCUAGCCGGUUGAGGCCCGCUCUGCCCUGCUAGCCUUGGCUCGCGGAGGCUGAGAUCCCGGCGGGCGCCUCCGCCCAGCGCCCGCUGAGCCCUGGCACCCCGGACCCAGGGUCACGGCGCACCGUGGGCGGGAAUGUGCCGGGAGGACCGCACGGGAGAGCACGGAUGGGCACCCUGGGCUCGAUGUAAGUGGCUUGGCCCGCGCGGGGCAGGAGAUGGGCGAGCGCCUUGGAACCCAGCGUGUCUGAAUGUCCGCCACAAGGGGCCGGCUGAGCCCCACACCCUCCUCCGGGCUCCCGGGACCACCUUGACGAUUCCCAGUCCUGAUCGGAACCCCCGCCAACCCCUAGGGCACGUCUCGCCUCGGACCCCCGGCCAUUUUCACAGCCAUAGCUUCUCACCUGGGGCGGGUGGGUGCUCCACCACCCUCCCGCCCUCUUUCCUCCACACGUGUGCCAGAGCCACAUCCAGCACCACGGACAGCUCCCGGGCGGUGAGUGAGAUGGCUAUGCUGACCCCCUUUGGGAGGGUUAGGAGGGCGUCCUCCUAUCUGCACCGUCAGCUAUCAAAAACUCCAGAUUUUUUAAUCUGUGGGAGUUAUUUGCAGGCAGCUGUGGAGUCUCAGGGAGAGGAAAAGGCUGAGGGCAGUUGACAUUGCAUUUCCAGGAAACUGGGUUUGUCCUCAUUGGGGAGUUGGGAUGAGAGGGGCCUCUCCAGCAGUAGGAAGGAUGAAGGUUAGACUCAGGGAGUAUUCAACCUAAGUUCAUGCAAGACACAGACUGUACCAAUCAGGUAAAGGUAAAAUGAACCUUAGAUAGCAUCAGCCCUAUAGCCCUCAUUUUACAGAUCCCAAGAGAGUGGAAGAGGUGUGACCAAGGUCACUCAGCUGCUUAGUGGAAAUGCCAAGACCCAGGCUCCUGAAUUCCAGCCUGGUCCUGCCUAUUCUGCCUGGUACUUCUUUAGGGGUCUCCCUGCCUGAGUUGGGUGGAGCAGGUAGAGAGAGUUCACAGGUUGCCCCCAUACAAAAAAGGACAGGAUGCAUGUCUCAGCAUGUGAGGUGUCCACACAAGCCAAGAAGAGGUGGAACUGACUGCUAUCUCUGUCUGAGGAGGUUUGGAGAGGAGGCCUCAGGGAGAAGCACAGGGAGAGACAUACCUAGCAGUAGCUGGCAAGCCCACGGGAGAAAAGGCAAGGGGGCAGCCAUCUGCUAGGGCACAGAGGCCAGUGGAUGGCCACAAGGAGUCUCCAGAGGCCGGCAAGAGUCACACAAACUGGAACAGGGCCUGGGAAAGGCCCUUCUGUGUGCCCAGGCCUGCUCCCUCAACACCGUGAGCAGAGAAACAAAGGGGCCAUUCUCUCUAGGAUUUGAUGCCGCCAUCUCCGGCUGGCAGUGCCAGGUGGUGGGGGCAUCAGGGGGUGUCAAUCCAUUAUCCCCCCCUAACUCCUAGGUCCUCUGGGGCUUGAUGUUGGGGAGGUGGGUGUUCCAUGCUAUGUUGCCAUGGCAACCACCCCAACCCCCACUUUCCAAAGCACAAAGAGAGACAGCUUUCACCCCCACCCCCAGGAAGAACCUGGGUCUGGCUGGGAAUCUUCCCUUGGGAAUCCUCCUUUCUGAGGCACAAGCCAUGGCAUGCAUAAGCAUCACCUUUUCAGCACCCGGAGCUGAAGGUUCUGCCAUCAGCAGGCCAUACAAGCAGGGAGGCUGGUGCAUCCAGAGUCUCUGGGCAAGGUUGCUCAAGUGAGGUUGUGCAAGUGAGGACGAGUCCCUUGUACUUAACCCUCUCUCCCCACAAGCCCUCCUGUCCUUCACCUAUAGCCAAGGCCAACCUCAGCUCAACCGUCUCAGCUGAAGCAACGUGGCUUUGACCUUCUACUCUUUCCCAGAAGUGAGGGACAUCCUGCUACCCCUAGCAAGCCUCCAGGCUGUGGGAACAGAGAAGAGGAGGGGUCAUUCCUGCCAUCCUCCAUCUGCACCCUCCGCCAUUACUCAUUCGGCAUUCUGCCCCCUCCUUCCGCUCGUUAAGCCUGAUUUGCAUACAUUUGCAUAAUACAACUUAUUUGCAUUCCAGGAGGCUCAUGGUAGGAGCCAGGAAAAAAGGGGAGGGGGGUUGUAGAAGAGAGAAAAGGGGAGAAAUUUUGUUUUCAUCAAAGUGUGUGCGCGCGCGCGCACGCGUGUGUGUGUGUGUGUGUGUGUGUGUGUGUGUGUGUGUUGGGGGGGAGGUGGCAGGAAGAGGAUGGAAAUAAAAACUCACACUACUUUCUUUCUUCCCUUCUGCCCUCUCUCCCUCUGCUGGACUAAAGUGCCAAAGAGAGAUGCCAAGGGGCCGGCUUUUCUGUCCUUUUUUGUUUUGCUUCCUCUGGCCUUGGCUCCCCAGCCCGGCCCCCCACCUUGCUGGGCUCAGGCUUCAGAAAGAAAGAGGCAAGGGUAAGAGGCAAGGCUGUGGGAACGAAAGCAGAGGGAGACAGGGAGGCCGCCAUCUUAGGUAGCUGGCGCCUAUAAAAUGGCCGCCUCUCCAGAGCUGAGAGCUGGCCUGGUUGGUGGACGUGGAGGGAGGUGAGAUGUCAGGGCUUUAUGGCUGACCAGGAACAUUGUUGAGUCUUCCUACUAGUGAAACUGGGAAGAGAGGAUGGAGAGAGAAGGAAGGAGGGAGAGAUGAGGAAGGGGCAGCCCCCGAAGAGAUGUGAGCCUCACACAGGAGCAGCCGCGGUAGAGAGGCCUCCACGCUGGCCUUGGUUCCAGACCCCUCCAUGGAGAGAGAAGGAAGGAGGGAGAGAUGAGGAAGGGGCAGCCCCCGAAGAGAUGUGAGCCUCACACAGGAGCAGCCGCGGUAGAGAGGCCUCCACGCUGGCCUUGGUUCCAGACCCCUCCUGAGCGCCAAUGGUCAGAGGACUUGAAGGACUGGGGGUGACGCAAAAAAUACCGGAGGAAUCAGAACUGGGGGUGUCAGCAGGAGGAGGGAGAGGGUAAGGUGUGGGCAGGCAGGAUCAUCUGCCAGUUUAGGGUGGGGGUCUCUCUGGGGCCUGUGAAGGGCCACCAUGUACUUGAGGCGAAGCUCCAAGUCAUCUCUCCUCAGCCCUGCAGUCCGGCUUCCAUCUUCGUAACUCUGGUGACACUGUGCCCUCUCAGGCCGCUCAACCUCCUCGCUCGGACCCAACGGCCCUUGCUCAGGUCUGGUGACUUUUGUGGAACAUUUCAUGCUGAUGUCCAUCGUGUCUUCACCUUUGGCCUUUGGUUCUUCUGUGAUAUCCCUGAUUAUUCAUUCUGGGUUCUCUUCUCUCAGUCCGCUGGGUUGACCAGUCCUCCAGCCAAAAGUAUGUUCCCCAAGGUUCUACUGUCACCUUUGUUUUUUUCCUUCCUACUCACUUUCAUUCACUUUUAUCACCUCAGCCAUCAGCCAAAGUUAUAAACGCUCGUUCAUUUCUCUAGUCUUGGCUUCUUAUAAACUCCAGAUUGUACCCUAACUGCUACCUGUGGUCCUGCCAUUAGCUCCCAGGUCAGAGACUGGACUGGUGCAUCUGAUUGGCUAAGCCUAGACCCAACGCCCAGGCCCCAGCUGCAAGGAGGGCCAGGAAGGUACCUGUGCUUUUGGCUUCUGUAGUGGCAUGUAAGUGCAGCCUCCCUCCGAAACUCAUGAGGGGGUCAUUCCCCAGACAUAGGAAGGGCAUUCACAUGCUCCCUCACUCCGCAUUGGGCUUGAAGUCUUGCCCCGUGUUCCUGCUUCCCUGCCUCUAUGGGCGGCUUCAUUAAACUCCCAGGCCCUCAGGUGCAAAUCCUGAGCAUUAUCCGAUUUGCCCUCUUCCUUCCCCCGAUCCAAAUCAGUCACAUCGGAACCCACCACUUCCUCCUUUGUAGCACCUCUCAUGUUCAUACCUUCCUUUCCCUUAUCCCUACCUCCAUGUCAGCUCAUUCAUUCACUAGACAUUUAUUGAGUGCCUACUAUGUGCCAGGUGCUAUGCUGAAGAGGAAGGUGGAAUACAAAGCUUCUUUGAGGAGCUAACCGUCCAGCAGGGGAGGCAGACACACAAUUACAUGGCAUGUGGAGACUGCUGUCCUGAAGACGUGUGCAAAGUGCUGUGGGAGCAGGUGGGGAGGGAACUGUGGGCCACCUUGGGGGAGUUAAGGAAGGGUUCCUGGAGGGGGCCAAAAUGUUGGUGAUGAAAGAUAAAGGGAAUAAAAGUGAUAAAAGGUAAGCAAGGAGUUGUCAGUCUAAGGAGUUUGAGGAAGUGGGUGGUGGAGAGUGGACAGUGUACGUGAAAGCAAGGACGUAGGGAAGAGCAUGGUGCCUUAGGGGACUGGAACAUCCAUCAGAGGGAGUCUGGGCUGGGGGAGAUGGGAAGUGGAAGCAGAAAUUCCAUUAUUAAGAGCUUUAUCUGCUCCAUGAGGGAGGCUGCAUUUGAUGGGGAUUCUGAGAAGUUAGCUGACAGCCUCAGGGAUGCUGGGUGCAGGGUAUGGCUGCGACAAGGACACCCGCAUCUAGCUGCCCACUGAGCCCAGCACCCAACCAGACACUUAACUGGCUCUUGGCUAGUUCUGAAGAAAGGAAGGAACGUAUGAAAGGCCUGGAAGCCACCUGAGGAAGAGUCUCUGCCUCUCCCCCUCCAGAACCGCCCACGCCCCACAGGUACACACUGGGCAGGCUGGUGGGAGCCCUUUGGGGAGAAAUGUGGAGAAGCCAAGGUUGGUCCCCAGCACAGUGUCCCAACAUCAGGACAGGAGAUGGGCCACUGCGGACUGGAGUGAAGAAUAGAGAAGGGGGUUCAGUCCUGAAAACUUCCUGGAAGAGGGAGUGAGGGAAGGUGUAAGGGGUCAUCAAGGAGGGGGCCAAGGCUCCGGGGGGAUUCUUCCCAGAAAAAGGGAGUGAAAGGCUGGAGAGACAGCUGAAGAGAUGAUGAGGCGGCUGCUGGCCACUGGGGUGGAGUGUAAGGGGGCGGGGGGCGGUGCUGGCUACCGCCCCUCCCCCAGGCCCAGCGUCUGCACAAAGACCUCUCUGUGAAUGGCCAUGGAAGUGGCCCUGUCAGGUGAGGGGGCUUAGCUCCCGGGGGCCCACUGGGAGUGGUGGAAUGGGGUUGGAGGAGGGGAAGGCUGAGAGGAGGCCUCAAGCUUUAAGCAGGUUGGAGAAACAAAUAGAAGCUGAGACCUGGCCAGGGUCUCACAGUGAGGCCAAGGUAGAGCCAUUCCCAGGACAGGCCCCACAGGUCCCCAGCACCAAGGCCCUACUCCCGCCCUUCCCCCCCACAUUUCUUCCCAGCUAUAAACCCCAAUCCUGCCAGGCCUCUCCAGCCUUCCAUCUCCAGCCCAUACACGCCUUCCCAUGGUGCUUCUGGGGCUGACCCCACCCUGAACCUCUCUGAUCUUCCCAGCACAGGGACUGUUGGAGUCUGCCUCCAGGGAAGGCUGUGUUGGGAGGGUGGAAAGACAAGACUGACCAGAACCAAAAAGGAGCCCUGAGGCCACCUCAGUCUCCACACCCAGUCAUGUCCUCCCCAGGGGAGGUUUCUCUCCUUGCCUGGCCUCAGGGUCACUUACUGCUAAUCACAGUGUGGGUAGACAUUCUCCCCUACCUCCAACCCCUUGUUGUGCACACUGUCCCUUCUAAUAAAUGUUGGCUUUGGGGGUGCUGGAAGCAGAAUGACAUCAGUUACAGCCUCAGCUUGCAGGUUGCUCACAGAUUUGAUAGAGGGGCUCUGUCCACAGGAAGGACAACAAAAGGAAGGACAAUGAAGUUUUGGUUUUUGACUCUGGAAUCAGGCUGAUCAGGAUAUAAAUUCUGGCUUCCCUUUCUUACUACCUGGGUGACCAUAGGCAAACCACUUAAUGUGUUUAGAUCCUAACUUCCUUCCACGGUUGUCCUGAGGACCAAAUGGGUCAGUGUCAAUGAGAGUGCUUCGUAAGGCUGUGUGCAGAUGUCGUGUUAAUUCUAAAUGCUGAGGGACACAGAGGGGCCAUUGCAGGUAGGUGGGAACAAUCAGAGAAGGCUUCCAGGGUUUGGAAACGAGAGCAGGGAUUGCUGGAGAGGAGAGUGAAGGGAGUCUGGGUGCAAUCUAUGGUGGAGCCCUGUCUGAGAAGUGUGGCUGGGCUCCGGGGACGGGCUGGAGGACUGGCUGGAGCUCUCGUGGUCUCACGCAGGCCAGCAUCUUGCUAGACUGGUUUGGGAGGCAUUUGUUUUUAACAACUGGGUGGUAGACUCCAUGACCACAGCUUCUUCCAGCCUUCUCAGGAAGAACUUCCCGCUGGCCCUGUGCAAACACUGUCCAGCAAUCCUGAGAGGAGGAGAGGGAUGGAGCGAAGCUCGAGUUCCCCAUGUUGCCCUAGCCCACUUUGCUCCCUCCCUGCAGCCCUCAUGUCAUUGUUCUCCAGAGGGAGCACUAGCCAGACAUUGUGACCCUCCACUGAAUGUAUACAAAAUGGUACCUCCAAGCCCUGCCACUUAGGACCCUCAAGUGCCUGAUUUUAUGGUUCCUCCGCAUUGUGAGGAGGGAGCUAAAUUCAGACUUAUUUAGAUCCCUCGGCCCAUAAGCCAGGGAGACUUUGAGCACGAGGGUCUCUUGUCUCUAAGCGGUCAUUCCUUGUUGUACAAGAAAGAGUCAGGAGGAGGAAUGGUUUUGGCAUCAUCCCCCACAGGUAACAGUGGAGCCUUUAAGCCUGGAGGGAAGGACCAGGCUGAGGCUGGCAUAUGGAGGGAGAGCCCUGGGCACGGGGAGCAUGAGCUUCACCCGGCUGGGGCUACCUUCUGCUGGGUUUGUCCAUCUGGCACCAGCUGGCUUCCCAGCACCGCCCCCGCAACCAACCAGACUCCUUCUUCUGCUGUUGCCAUGGCAAUUGGCUGCCAUCUUGUACUCGGGGCACUACCUCAUAUCUGGAUUUUUCCCGUGGGGUUCCUGGAUGAUGGGAGAUAGGUCUCCAGGGAUGUAUCCUUUCCUCCUGAUAUUCAUCCAAUAAAAAUUCAUAUUAAUGUGAUUUUUAAAAAUAGCCAAAUUGGGGGCUGGCCCCGUGGCCGAGUGGUUAAGUUCGCGCGCUCCACUGCAGGCGGCCCAGUGUUUCGUUAGUUUGAAUCCUGGGUGCGGACAUGGCACUGCUCAUCAGACCACGCUGAGGCAGCAUCCCACAUGCCACGACUAGAAGAACCCACAACGAAGAAUACACAACUAUGUACCGGGGGGCUUUGGGGAGAAAAAGGAAAAAAAAAAAAAAUCUUUAGAAAAAAAAAAAGUAGCCAAAUUGGAGGCUUGCUAUGUGUCAGGCUCUGUCCUCAGUGUAUUUAAUUUGGCUAAGAAAGCAUUAAUGAGAUGAAAUUUAAGAGGUUCCCACUCAGUUUCCUGUUUCUAUGACAGACUUUUCCUCUCUCCAACCAGGAAAUUCCAUGAUCUUUCUUAUUCCUGUCUUGGGAAGUCCUUCCCAAUGUCUAACCAAGAUCUGUACUGCUGAAGCACCAGUUCUUUGACCCUUGGCUUGACAUGGUUAAUUUGAGAGGUAAGGAAGGAACUGCCACCCAGCUUUAACGACUUUAUUGGGCUUCCUGGACUCCAGCUGUUAGGACCAGGAAACUAAGACUUGGCUAGCUUGGUGAGAGGUCCAAGUGCCCCUUAAAGACUUGGGGGCCCCAAGUCUAAGACUUUUUCUUUAGAGAAGGGGAGUCAAUAUCACAAAAUGCUUUGAAAUUUCCCUUCCUUGCCCCCAUCCCCACCCAAAGAAAGAGACAGGAGCCAGAGACCAUUGGAAAGUGGUAGUCUCCAAGGCUUUGCGGGGUGGCCCAGAAAGCAGUCUCCCCCUCCCGCCAUUGGGGAGGUUCCAACAAGGGUCCCUGAGAGAUCCUGGGAUGGUGAGAAUUCCCUCCCUCUGGAGCUCAAGCAGAAGGCAGAGAAUGGUCACCUUGACCUCGGGCAUCUAUAAGGGGCACUGAGCAGGGGCCAGCUUUGCUGAGGGAAUCUUGAAUGAGGAGCAGGUGGAAAGAGAAAGGAGGCCAUUCUCAACUGAGGAAGGGUGGGCUGGCAGGGAGGGGCUGGGGAUAAUUUAUGAUAUCAUUGUUCCCCGCCCCACUUUCCCAGCCCCCACCCUCUUCCCAGCCCCCUGCUACUGUACCGUUGCUAGGAGAUGCUCGCUAUGUCAGGGGCUGGGAGGGUGGAACAGGCGGAGACUGUUCCAUCUGGACUCCUCCUCCCCCACCCAGGGGAGGGCCCUGCACUGAGCUUCCUGCACCACCCCUUCCCAGGCCAUGACAAACACCAGUCUCUUCUGUUGUUCCCCCAAAUCCAGCCAGCCUGGGGCUAGGAGGGCUCCCAGGCAGGCGGAGGAUCUGGAGCAAGGAGUGGGAAGAGUGGGAAAGGGAGCUGUAGAGGGAGAGGCUGACAGACUUAGUUGGGGCACUGAGGAACAGCUGGCUCACCUCAGGGCCUCUGGGAGCCAGCCCAGGCUGGGAAGAGGGCCAGAGGGGGUCAGGGACACAGGGCUCCAGGAGCCCAGGUUUGAGGGAGAGUCCUUACCUCACCUUUGGGGAGCUUCCAGUAUAGUGGUCAAGGCAGACCUCCCAUCCCAGCCCCUCCAAAGUAUGGUCAAGGUCAAGGUUAGGGACCUGGCAAACAUGGGGGUUGUGGGAAGGUCGGGUAGGGGAGGGGGGAGCAGGGAGGAAGGAGGUAAGUCUGGCAAGUCUGAGUCUAGGUAGGCGGGAGGUGACACUGAUCUGAGGGGUUGGGCAGUGCAGGAGAGUGGCUCAGAUCCCCUCCUCUUUCUGAAAUUCUCUUCUCAGAUUUUAAAGCCCUUGGAGAAGUGGGGUGAGGUGAACUUUGGGGGCUUCCAAAGCUAGGGCUCCCAACUCCAGAUGGGGCAGGAAAGGAAUGCCGUGCCCACAGCUGUGCCUCUGAUGCCUGACUUCUGUGUAGCCCCUACUGACUUUAUUCUUCUUUCCUAGGCACAGCUUCCCUCUACCCCAGGAAGGAAGAAACUGACUUUGAUUUGGCACCCACUUGCUUGUGUAAGCCCUUUCUUAGCCAUUAUCUCAGUUAAUCUUCCAACAGUCCUGAAAACUGGUGAUGCUGUCCCCACUUUACAAAGGCAGAAUCAGCCCCAAGAAGGACAUGUAAGUUGCCCAGCGUCACAGAACUAGUAAGUUGGGUGGGGCUUCAGAGAGGGCUUUGCAGAUCCCAAAGUAUGUGCUGUUCGCUUUCCCAUGCUGACUUCUGGCAGAACAUGUUGCAAACACAAUCAGAGGGACUGAGAGGAGAGGACCAGAUAGGCCGGGGGACGUCUCAGCGUGUUCUCAGGGGAGGAAGGGGGUGCUCCUUCUCGGGUGCAGGAGUGAAGUCUGAGGGAUGCUAAAACAGUCCUUGCAGGUUGAAGACGGGCCUGGGGAGGAGGCCACAGGAGCUGUAGAAACCACCAAAAUCCUCCCGGGUUGGUCCCUGGCCUUGGGAAGUGUGCUCCCCUCCCUGCCUUCCUGAAUCAAGCCUGGGCCACCCCCUCAUCUCUCUCCUGCUUGGGCUCUGCGUUCUGCCCUGGGCGUUCCCCUCCCCCAGGGACUGGGGUGGAGCCCCUAGAACAGAUGCCUAGACUCAGCCACUGACGCCCUCCCUGGAAGUUGCCCUCUGUCUCCUGCUAAGGUCUCCAUCCAAAGAACCUUUUUCGGUCUUGACAUUUUUUCUUUUCAGACCAAAAAGAAGAACCUACUUCACCCUUUGGCCUAGGUUCCCUCUGAGAAGCCUUCCUGGAUUGACUGAAAGAUGUGGCUAAACUCUAGCAAGUUGACCAGCUCCUCCAAGAAGCCUCUGAGCAGGCCAGAAGUAGGCACGCCCUAGCAACCAGCCUGGCAGCCCACUACACCCGGAGCCGCCUGGGAUAAGACUUUGCUUCACUGUUGCUCCCGUGUCCACAGGCUGUCCAUCCCGGCCCAUCUUGGUUUCUCCUUUGUCAUCUGAGCUGAGAUUCUCUGAGAUGGAAGACCCAUCUCGUGUCUAAUAAAGACUCUUGAAUGUUGAACAACAGUA
rnacentral:lncRNA from 1 species